GGAUGUGGAUGAUGAGAUCACAAGUAAAAAUACAGUUAUCCCUGUCUUACUUCCUUGGAAGGGUGGAAGGGUGGUGAGAAUACUUUCAAUCUGACACGGUU
rnacentral:snoRNA from 1 species